UUGAACGCUGGCGGCAUGCCUUACACAUGCAAGUCGAACGGUAACAGGUCUUCGGAUGCUGACGAGUGGCGAACGGGUGAGUAAUACAUCGGAACGUGCCCAGACGUGGGGGAUAACGAGGCGAAAGCUUUGCUAAUACCGCAUACGAUCUAAGGAUGAAAGCAGGGGACCGCAAGGCCUUGCGCGUUGGGAGGGCCCGAUGGCAGAUUAGGUAGUUGGUGGGAUAAAAGCUUACCAAGCCGACGAUCUGUAGCUGGUCUGAGAGGACGACCAGCCACACUGGGACUGAGACACGGCCCAGACUCCUACGGGAGGCAGCAGUGGGGAAUUUUGGACAAUGGGCGAAAGCCUGAUCCAGCAAUGCCGCGUGCAGGAUGAAGGCCUUCGGGUUGUAAACUGCUUUUGUACGGAACGAAAAGGCUCUGGCUAAUACCUGGGGCACAUGACGGUACCGGAAGAAUAAGCACCGGCUAACUACGUG
rnacentral:rRNA from 1 species